rnacentral:rRNA from 1 species
CCUGCCUACGGGGGGCAGCAGUGGGGAAUAUUGGGCAAUGGGCGCAAGCCUGACCCAGCAACGCCGCGUGAAGGAAGAAGGCUUUCGGGUUGUAAACUUCUUUUGUCAGGGACGAAGCAAGUGACGGUACCUGACGAAUAAGCCACGGCUAACUACGUGCCAGCAGCCGCGGUAAUACGUAGGUGGCAAGCGUUAUCCGGAUUUAUUGGGUGUAAAGGGCGUGUAGGCGGGAAUGCAAGUCAGAUGUGAAACCUAUGGGCUCAACCCAUAGCCUGCAUUUGAGACUUGCUUUCUU